rnacentral:rRNA from 1 species
GACGAAGGUUGCGAGCGUUGUUCGGAAUCACUGGGCUUAAAGCGCAUGUAGGCGGACAAGAAAGCUUUUUGUGAAAUACCCCGGCUUAACCGGGGAAUUGCUUGGAGAACUACUUGUCUUGAGGCAAGCAGGGGUGCAUGGAACUCUUGGUGGAGCGGUGGAAUGCGUAGAUAUCAAGAGGAACGCCAGCGGAGAAAUCGGUGCACUGGGCUUGUUCUGACGCUGAGAUGCGAAAGCGUGGGGAGCAAACGGG